GUACGUAGGGUGCGAGCGUUGUCCGGAUUUAUUGGGCGUAAAGGGCUCGUAGGUGGUUGAUCGCGUCGGAAGUGUAAUCUUGGGGCUUAACCCUGAGCGUGCUUUCGAUACGGGUUGACUUGAGGAAGGUAGGGGAGAAUGGAAUUCCUGGUGGAGCGGUGGAAUGCGCAGAUAUCAGGAGGAACACCAGUGGCGAAGGCGGUUCUCUGGGCCUUUCCUGACGCUGAGGAGCGAAAGCGUGGGGAGCGAACAGGCUUAGAUACCCUGGUAGUCCACGCUGUAAACGGUGGGUACUAGGUGUGGGGUCCAUUCCACGGGUUCCGUGCCGUAGCUAACGCUUUAAGUACCCCGCCUGGGGAGUACGGCCGCAAGGCUAAAACUCAAAUGAAUUGACGGGG
rnacentral:rRNA from 1 species